GACGAAGGAUGCAAGCGUUAUCCGGAUUCAUUGGGUUUAAAGGGAGCGUAGGCGGACUUGUAAGUCAGUGGUGAAAUCUGUGGGCUUAACCCACAAACUGCCAUUGAUACUGCAGGUCUAGAGUACAGUUGCCGUUGGCGGAAUAUGACAUGUAGUGGUGAAAUACUUAGAUAUGACAUAGAACACCCAUUGCGAAGGCAGCUAACUACGCGAUCAUUGACGCUGAUGCACGAAAGCGUGGGGAUCAAACAGG
rnacentral:rRNA from 1 species